rnacentral:tRNA from 1 species
AGCCGAUGUAGCUCAAUGGUAGAGCACAGCUUUCGUAAAGCUGGGGUUGAGGGUCCGAAUCCCUCCAUCGGCUU